rnacentral:miRNA from 1 species
AAAACAUACAUGGCAUGACUAUAAAAUAAUGAGACAAUUUCAUUGUGGCUUGGGCUACUGAGUCUCAUUAGUAUAUAGUCACAUCCUGUCUCAAG